AUUCAUUGUUUUUACCAGAUCCAGCAGAUCACAGAAAGCAUCUAGUAGGGGAGGUCUACAGAUCGAAGCAUGCCAAACGUGUAAAGAACAAGUUUCCAGGAUUAAGCCAGCCAGUAGAUGAGACUAUCAUAUCAAAAAUACAUUUACUUGUACACGAGGGCACACAAAGCGUUGAUGAAACAAAAAGACAUUUCCGUCUGUUUGUAAAGGAUACUAUUUCACCAGGGAACACCAUCUCAGAAUUUAACAGAUGCUUUUACCCCGCCAAUAAGGAUGUAAGAAAUCACAUUUACAGGGCACCGAGAUUUUGCCAGGUAGUUUAGAACUGUGUGCAUUGGUUUUGGAAGAAUUUGGGCUGUUUAGGCUAAAAUCCAUUAUGAUUGGACAGAAUAUGAACACACACAUCCAAUACUUCAAAGAUAUUAUGUUUGUGGAGGCAGAGAUUUUGAUUGCAUCCACUGUUUAGAAUACAUCCUUAAGGGAAGCAGACUGCCGUCUUUACCCAGUGAUAUAAUGAUUAAUCA